CCUUUGACGUUAGCGGCGGACGGGUGAGUAACACGUGGGUAACCUACCUAUAAGACUGGGAUAACUUCGGGAAACCGGAGCUAAUACCGGAUAAUAUUUCGAACCGCAUGGUUCGAUAGUGAAAGGUGGUUUUGCUAUCACUUAUGGAUGGACCCGCGCCGUAUUAGCUAGUUGGUAAGGUAACGGCUUACUAAGGCGACGAUACGUAGCCGACCUGAGAGGGUGAUCGGCCACACUGGAACUGAGACACGGUCCAGACUCCUACGGGAGGCAGCAGCC
rnacentral:rRNA from 1 species